rnacentral:rRNA from 1 species
UAUGUCUACGGGGGGCAGCAGCGAGGAAUAUUGGUCAAUGGGCGGGAGCCUGAACCAGCCAUGCCGCGUGAAGGCGAGUGCCCUACGGGCGUUAAACUUCUUUUGUGCGGGAGCAAUAAGGGCCACGUGUGGCCCGAUGAGAGUACCGCACGAAUAAGCAUCGGCUAACUCCGUGCCAGCAGCCGCGGUAAUACGGGGGAUGCGAGCGUUAUCCGGAUUUAUUGGGUUUAAAGGGUGCGUAGGCGGACUGUUAAGUCAGCGGUAAAAGCCCGGGGCUCAACCCCGGCGAGCCGUUGAAACUGGCU